UCCCUUUCUUUUUAUUUUUCGCCCCCCUUUUUCUUAACUCUCACGCACGUUGAAUCCCCCAACAUGAAGACCCUUUUUGUGUGCCCUAACAGCCACUGACCAUCUCCUCUCCAGCCGGUACCGCGCGUGUCUGACUGAGUCGCCACCAAUUCUUCGGUCGUUCAUUCGUGGGCCACCGUUCGCGCAGGUCGGUUCGAUCUCAUCAGCAAGCAGCGAUCGUCCAAAUCUCCUUCGUCGCUCAACCUUCGGCGCACCGAUCUCGCCCAGCCGGCCAGUGUCGCGUCCGCAUCGUCGUCGCCCCAGCCACUUGGCCGCCGCGUGUCGCGACUGUCUCCUUGCAGCUCGAGCCACCACCGUAAGAUCCAGCCAUACUGUACCUGUUCGACGAAGCCAUCCGCAUUAGUGGUGCCGUCGUCACCGUCUCCAGUCGAUCUCCUCCAUCGCCCAUCAUCGCACUGCCCAGACCCUGUUUCGUGAGUCUUCGUAAGACUCUUAGAUUUGGAUUUGAGCUUGGGAAAUUACUGAAGCGGCUGUCCAGCGGAUUCGAGAUUGUUCGACAAGAUUUUUGGUAAGAUUUAUGGUUCUUGUUGUUGGUUUUUGGGCACACAUUGAUUACUGGAUUAAAUGUUAACUUAACUCUUGUAUCUUUAAGGUUCCAAGUCGUCGUUCAUUAGGAUUUAAAAUCUGUUAAAAGGAGAUUUUGGAGUUGAAAUCUUAGGAGUGUUUGUUGAUCAAGUUUCUUUAGGUAAGCUUUUGGGUA